rnacentral:rRNA from 1 species
UGGCUCAGAUUGAACGCUGGCGGCAUGCUUUACACAUGCAAGUCGAACGGCAGCACGAAAGAGCUUGCUCUUUUGGUGGCGAGUGGCGAACGGGUGAGUAAUACAUUGGAACGUACCGAGUAAUGGGGGAUAACUGUCCGAAAGGAUGGCUAAUACCGCAUACGCUCUGAGGAGGAAAGCGGGGGACCUUCGGGCCUCGCGUUAUUCGAGCGGCCAAUGUCUGAUUAGCUAGUUGGUGGGGUAAAGGCCUACCAAGGCGACGAUCAGUAGUGGGUCUGAGAGGAUGAUCCGCCACACUGGGACUGAGACACGGCCCAGACUCCUACGGGAGGCAGCAGUGGGGAAUUUUGGACAAUGGGCGAAAGCCUGAUCCAGCCAUGCCGCGUGUCUGAAGAAGGCCUUCGGGUUGUAAAGGACUUUUGUCAGGGAAGAAAGGGUUUGGGUUAAUACCCUGAGCUUA